rnacentral:rRNA from 1 species
GGGGAAUCUUGCACAAUGGGGGAAACCCUGAUGCAGCGACGCCGCGUGAACGAUGAAGCCCUUCGGGGUGUAAAGUUCUUUCGACAGGAACGAUAAUGACGGUACCUAGAGAAGAAGCUGCGGCUAACUACGUGCCAGCAGCCGCGGUAAUACGUAGGCAGCGAGCGUUGUUCGGAGUUACUGGGCGUAAAGAGUGCGUAGGCGGCGAGCCAAGUUUGGUGUGAAAUCUCCCGGCUUAACCGGGAGGGUGCGCCGAAAACUGGUUGGCUGGAGUAUGGGAGAGGAAAGCGGAAUUCCUGGUGUAGCGGUGAAAUGCGUAGAUAUCAGGAGGAACACCUGCGGUGUAGACAGCUUUCUGGACCAAAACUGACGCUGAGGCACGAAAGCGUGGGUAGCAAACA